CCUACGGGUGGCAGCAGUGAGGAAUAUUGGUCAAUGGCCGGAAGGCUGAACCAGCCAUGCCGCGUGAAGGUCAGUGCCCUAUGGGCGUUAAACUUCUUUUGUGCGGGAGCAAUAAUGGUCACGUGUGGCCAGACGAGAGUACCGUACGAAUAAGCAUCGGCUAACUCCGUGCCAGCAGCCGCGGUAAUACGGGGGAUGCAAGCGUUAUCCGGAUUUAUUGGGUUUAAAGGGUGCGUAGGCUGUGAGGUAAGUCAGCGGUGAAAUGCCCCCGCUCAACGGGGUGAAGUGCCAUUGAUACUGCCUUGCUGGAAUGCGGAUGCCGUGGGAGGAAUGUGGGGUGUAGCGGUGGAAUGCAUUGAUAUCACACAGGACACCGAUUGCGAAGGCAUCUCACGAAUCCGCGAUUGACGCUGAUGCACGAAAGCGUGGGUAUCAAACAGGAUUAGAUACCCUUGUAGUC
rnacentral:rRNA from 1 species